GACAUUUGGCAGAGACUGUUGAAGCCACCUGGUCCCAGCAGACCUCAGAGGUGGCCACAUUCGCUGGUGCUGGGGCAAGAUCGUUGAGGGUGAUGCCUGGUGCCAGAUGUGU
rnacentral:rRNA from 1 species